rnacentral:rRNA from 1 species
GAUGAACGCUGGCGGCGUGCCUAAUACAUGCAAGUCGAGCGAACGGACGAGAAGCUUGCUUCUCUGAUGUUAGCGGCGGACGGGUGAGUAACACGUGGAUAACCUACCUAUAAGACUGGGAUAACUUCGGGAAACCGGAGCUAAUACCGGAUAAUAUUUUGAACCGCAUGGUUCAAAAGUGAAAGACGGUCUUGCUGUCACUUAUAGAUGGAUCCGCGCUGCAUUAGCUAGUUGGUAAGGUAACGGCUUACCAAGGCAACGAUGCAUAGCCGACCUGAGAGGGUGAUCGGCCACACUGGAACUGAGACACGGUCCAGACUCCUACGGGAGGCAGCAGUAGGGAAUCUUCCGCAAUGGGCGAAAGCCUGACGGAGCAACGCCGCGUGAGUGAUGAAGGUCUUCGGAUCGUAAAACUCUGUUAUUAGGGAAGAACAUAUGUGUAAGUAACUGUGCACAUCUUGACGGUACCUAAUCAGAAAGCCACGGCUAACUACGUGCCAGCAGCCGCGGUAAUACGUAGGUGGCAAGCGUUAUCCGGAAUUAUUGGGCGUAAAGCGCGCGUAGGCGGUUUUUUAAGUCUGAUGUGAAAGCCCACGGCUCAACCCGUGGAGGGUCAUUGGAAACUGGAAAACUUGAGUGCAGAAGAGGAAAGUGGAAUUCCAUGUGUAGCGGUGAAAUGCGCAGAGAUAUGGAGGAACACCAGUGGCGAAGGCGACUUUCUGGUCUGUAACUGACGCUGAUGUGCGAAAGCGUGGGGAUCAAACAGGAUUAGAUACCCUGGUAGUCCACGCCGUAAACGAUGAGUGCUAAGUGUUAGGGGGUUUCCGCCCCUUAGUGCUGCAGCUAACGCAUUAAGCACUCCGCCUGGGGAGUACGACCGCAAGGUUGAAACUCAAAGGAAUUGACGGGGACCCGCACAAGCGGUGGAGCAUGUGGUUUAAUUCGAAGCAACGCGAAGAACCUUACCAAAUCUUGACAUCCUUUGACAACUCUAGAGAUAGAGCCUUCCCCUUCGGGGGACAAAGUGACAGGUGGUGCAUGGUUGUCGUCAGCUCGUGUCGUGAGAUGUUGGGUUAAGUCCCGCAACGAGCGCAACCCUUAAGCUUAGUUGCCAUCAUUAAGUUGGGCACUCUAAGUUGACUGCCGGUGACAAACCGGAGGAAGGUGGGGAUGACGUCAAAUCAUCAUGCCCCUUAUGAUUUGGGCUACACACGUGCUACAAUGGACAAUACAAAGGGCAGCGAAACCGCGAGGUCAAGCAAAUCCCAUAAAGUUGUUCUCAGUUCGGAUUGUAGUCUGCAACUCGACUACAUGAAGCUGGAAUCGCUAGUAAUCGUAGAUCAGCAUGCUACGGUGAAUACGUUCCCGGGUCU